UGAUGAAAGUGAUUAACAUAGACAGCUCCCUCUUUUUAUUCUGACAUUUAACUAAUUCAAAAGAUAUUUCAAUAUUCAGCAAGAGGUGAAAGUUAUCGGGCCUUAUUCCAGUUUUUAAAAGGGAGUAAAUCGUUUGUGUGCAUUUGAGGGUCGACGUGCCAGUUCACACUCCACACCAGUAGGUGACAGUAAAGCACCAUUUUGUUGUUUGACAACCGCCAAUAAACGAUGUAAAGAAGACGAAGCGCCUUCCGGGAUGACAGACGGAGCUAUUUUUUCAUCCAAAGCGAAGAAAAUAGUGAAUUUGGAUGAUAAAACAAACUAAACCAACGUUUGGAUCGAUAUCUGCAUCGAUCUGCCCACCCUUGUCUCCUGGAUCGUAGCUGAGAUCAGCGUGAACCACGUGGGUCUCUGCUCCCUGAUCUGUUUCCUGUGUUUGGAAAGAGUUGCAGCUUCAUCGCGGAGUUUCUCUCGGUUUGUGGGCUCAUCUAAAGCUGAUCAGCAGGAGGAGAAGAGUCUGACGGAGCAGCAGAGGAACAUUUUCAGCCAUCUGGACUCAGCUGAGUCACUACAGAGGAAACAAUGAGCUCAACACAGGAGGUGAG